rnacentral:rRNA from 1 species
AUUGAACGCUAGCGGGAUGCUUUACACAUGCAAGUCGAACGAGCGGCGGACGGGUGAGUAAUGUAUGGGGAUCUGCCUGAUGGCGGGGGAUAACUACUGGAAACGGUAGCUAAUACCGCAUACCAUCAGAUGAACCCAUAGGGGAUUAGCUAGUAGGUAAGGUAACGGCUUACCUAGGCGACGAUCCGUAGCUGGUCUGAGCUGAUGAUCAGCCACACUGGAACUGAGACACGGCCCAGACUCCUACGGGAGGCAGCAGUGGGGAAUAUUGAACAAUGGGCGCAAGCCUGAUGCAGCCAUGCCGCGUGUAUGAAGAAGGCCUUCGGGUUUUAAAGUACUUUCAGUCGGGAGGCGUUACCGACAGAAGAAGCACCGGCUAACUCCGGGCCAGCAGCCGCGGUAAUAC